rnacentral:rRNA from 1 species
AUACGGAGGGUGCAAGCGUUACUCGGAAUCACUGGGCGUAAAGCGCGCGCAGGCGGUCUUUUAAGUUGGAUGUGAAAGCCUACAGCUCAACUGUAGAACUGCAUCCAAAACUAUUAGACUAGAGUCUGGGAGGGGAAGAUGGAAUUAGUUGUGUAGGGGUAAAAUCCGUAGAGAUAACUAGGAAUACCAAAAGCGAAGGCGAUCUUCUGGAACAGUACUGACGCUGAGGCGCGAAAGCGUGGGGAGCAAACAGGAUUAGAAACCCCAGUAGUCC